rnacentral:rRNA from 1 species
AGUGAACGCUGGCGGUAGGCCUAACACAUGCUAGUCGAACGGCAGCACAGUAAGAGCUUGCUCUUACGGGUGGCGAGUGGCGGACGGGUGAGGAAUACAUCGGAAUCUACUUUUUCGUGGGGGAUAACGUAGGGAAACUUACGCUAAUACCGCAUACGACCUACGGGUGAAAGCAGGGGAUCUUCGGACCUUGCGCGAUUGAAUGAGCCGAUGUCGGAUUAGCUAGUUGGCGGGGUAAAGGCCCACCAAGGCGACGAUCCGUAGCUGGUCUGAGAGGAUGAUCGGCCACACUGGAACUGAGACACGGUCCAGACUCCUACGGGAGGCAGCAGUGGGGAAUAUUGGACAAUGGGCGCAAGCCUGAUCCAGCCAUACCGCGUGGGUGAAGAAGGCCUUCGGGUUGUAAAGCCCUUUUGUUGGGAAAGAAAAGCAGCAGGUUAAUACCCCGCUGUUCUGACGGUACCCAAAGAAUAAGCACCGGCUAACUUCGUG